UGGACCAUCAUUUCAAUUAAAUGGACGCCUUCAGUACAGAAGAGCACCAAAAAAAAAUACAGGAAACUUCUGGAAUUAUAUUAAGAGCAUUGACAGAUAUCUGCAAAAAUAUGUGGGUACCUCCACAGGAAAAUCUUUGUGGAUCUGGGUGAAGAUUACAUAUCAAAAUAACUAAAAAUAGUUACGAAACUAUGAAUUUUCUAGAAGAAAAUAGUUUGAUUUUCAGAUUCUGAUCUGAAGCCCAUUGCAAUAAAAGGAACUUUGACUCUGCAGAGUAUCAUGCUUGGGAUAAUUUUUGAGAGCUUUCCUUUCAUUGACUAGUACAAAGAGUCUCAAUGAAGUCUGCAGAAUUAGUCAUUUAGUGUCUUUAGGGAUGAAGUAGUGAAAAACAUCCUGAUAAAGUAAACCAAAUGGAAUAAUAAUUGCAUCUUGAGUGAGUAACAGAGUUUAUGUUUGGGUAUAAUCUUCUGCAGGGAAUUUUUUUAAACACUGAGUGUCUGUUCUGCAAAAUUUGUCAUAGCUAGUGAAAACAUUUCAAUACCAAGGACCGGAAAAUAUAGUUUCUUUUGCCUUCAUGCACACAAAACUCUCUCUUCUCAUGUGAUCAUGCUUGCUAGUGAUUCUUGGUGAAAUCAGAUGAUGAGUAUGAAAGAGCAAGACCUUGUAUUUUACAUAUUCUACAACAUCAGGCAUUGGAAAACUAACAAAGCUCUUCCUGACAGAGUUGUUAGAUUGUUACAUAAAUUGUUGCUUUUCCAUCUUCACACUAUAUUACAUCUAGUCUUCUGUAAAUCUUCUUGCUUAUUGCUUUUUUAAUUACCACAUUUCUCAGCUCUGAGUUACAGCUAGUCCUAUGGUUUUAGGAGGGGCAUGUAUUGUUACAAACACAGGUGGUUUGGGUUUGUUUCCAAAGUAAAAAUUAUUAACUAAGUGUUGGCAGCUGCAUCUACCACUUUAUAUAUAUUUAAAUCUAUUUUAUGGUAACAGUUUCUUGUUCCAGAUAUAAGGGUGGGAAGUGCAUCUAUACCCUGUAAUCUAAUCAACCUUUCACAGCUCACAGUGGCAAUCAAGUCCUGGAAAGAAUGUUUUGAUGAGAACAAAGCUGUUGAGGAAUUCUCCUGAGUUUUGUUAGAAUGAUGGCUUGGAAUUGAUAUGCCAAAACCUGUGACAAGCCUGUAAAACACAAAAGACAACUUACUGAUAUGGUUAUAGUGCUUUGUGAAUUUUCUGUAACACUGCUUUUCAUAGACCAUAUAGGCAGAUCAUGCAGGGCAGUCUCCUGUCCUGCUUUUGCUCUGACAGCACGCUGAUCAUGAGGCAGGGAAGUGUUUACAAGUGUUGCUAUCCUUCAGAGAGUUUGAAUUGCCAAACUAGUAGCGAGUCUAUUCUACCUCCCAAUGAAUGUUGGUCUAUAGUGUGAUAAUUCCCAAAUAAAUUGCUUCACUGACUCUGCUCAUGGUCUUCUUCGCAGCGCCCCGUUCAAGCCUCCAGCUAUCACCUUUCUCGGUAUAGAGUUCCAUAGCACACUUAUUCCAAUCUGAGGCCUUAGGCUCUAAACCUCUGUUGUUCAUUGCAAUAACCUUCAACAGGUCAGGUCAACACCUGCAGUUCCAGUUCUUGCAGCAUAAUAGUACCUGGCUUGUUCCUGAAAAACAAUGUAUUAUUUAAACCAAAACACUUUAGAGAAAGCAUUUUUCAAAAGAGCAGUCAGUCUGGCAUGUCUCUACACCCACUUUGCUCAAGUUAGUUGACAUCAACAGUCCUGUGCUAUGUCAGAUGUUUUGAACAAAGUGGAAUGACUCCUUCAACUCUCCUGACUAGGGAUAAAAUACUGGAAGACUCAUCUCCUCUUUUACUGUUAUCAUCAUGUUUUAAUAUCUUUAAUGUCUUCAUUUCCUGAAGGAUACAAAUAUAACGUGUUGCAGUAAUGUUCUCAGAAACUUCUUGUCCCUGAGGGGAGGGAUGUGGCUUUAAGGUCGUCUUAUGCCCUCAAAUUUAAUUUAAUUUUAUACAGAUAUCAGGCAGAUACUUCUUUAUUCAAGAUUCUAAUACACUUGUAUGUUUAAAAGAAUUUUAAAGACAGAGGUGAUUUAAUAGCAAGAAAUCAGUAGACUCCGUAUCACUGAUUUCUUCUAAAUUGUAUGGAGUUUAUCAGUCUUUAUCAUAGAUUUUGAAUGACCGUAGAAAUCAGCAGACCCAUUGAUGGCUUCUGAAAUUGUCUUGAGAAAUUGCAAUCUCAGAAAUAUUUUCUUUUGCUUCUUCUUGAAGCUUUUUCUGAAUAAGCUAUCCAUUUUUUAAAAGCUUGCAUUUAUUGUUUUAAGGGAUUCUUUGCUUUGUAAUAGUCAUGUUACAGAGCUGGUUGGAACUGACCUUUGAUAUGCCUUUAAAAAUUGACAGGAAUGCUGUUGUGCGGUGACAUAUUUGACAAUUCCUCCUAAUUAAAAAAAGGAAAACCAAGGCCCUAUCUGACAUGAAAGUGUGUAAUGUCGCAAUGUUCUGUGUUGUCAUGAUGUAGAAUGCCAGGCGAAAAAAUACAAAGAAAGUGCAAUUGCAAGGCAAAAUUGAAGACUGUUUCUUCGGGGGUGAGGGGAAGUUCCACCCAUGUGAAGAGAUUCAGCUUUUGAACAGCUUAACUCCACGUUUCUCCUGUCAAACUUUCAACAGUUGUUUUUGCAGAUGUAGUCAUAGAUGAAUGACCAUGUAACCAUAAAAUAUAGUGUAGAGAUGAGGAAAUUAGUUUCAGACACAGUAGGGUGUAACACUAUGGAAGUUGAUUCGCUGUUCAAAAGAGUAUUUUUAUCUGUCUCUCUAUCCUCUGUGCAAGGGAGACUGGCUGAUGUGGCAUUGCUGUGCCUAAAUCACUUUCAGUACCUGAGCUAAUUGACUUUAAUUUUUAGGCUAAUUCAUCCAUCCCUAGGCUGAAAAGCAGACAGCACUGAAAGCAAACCGUAAGAAUGGAACUUAAGUAAAACCAGUGGAAAACACUGAAUAAUUAAAUGUAACUCCCAAGUAAAGAGACUCUGCCUCACUGCUGGGUAUUGAAAGUGAUCAUUCCCAUGCAUCAACCAUCCGGGGCUGGGGCCAUCUCCGGAUUUUGUUUGUGUGCUUGCUUCUCUUGUUUUAGCUUCUGAAACACUUCAUGUAUUUUAUUUCUAUAAAAUUACUUGCUUGGCCUUGCUCAUAAAUACACUGUG
ensembl:lncRNA